GUCUAUGGCCAUGCCACCCUGAAUGUGCCUAAUCUCGUCUGAUCUUGGAAGCUAAGCGGGUCAGGCCUAGUUAGUACUUGGAUGGGAGACCACCUAGGAAUACCGGGUGCUGUAGGCA
rnacentral:rRNA from 1 species